rnacentral:tRNA from 1 species
ACUUGGCUGGCUCAGUCGGUAGAGCAUGACACUUGAUCUCAGGGUUGUGAGUUCAAGUCCCACGUUAGGCA